AGAGUUUGAUCAUGGCUCAGAUUGAACGCUGGCGGCAGGCCUAACACAUGCAAGUCGAACGGUAACAGGAAGCAGCUUGCUGCUUUGCUGACGAGUGGCGGACGGGUGAGUAAUGUCUGGGAAACUGCCUGAUGGAGGGGGAUAACUACUGGAAACGGUAGCUAAUACCGCAUAACGUCGCAAGACCAAAGAGGGGGACCUUCGGGCCUCUUGCCAUCGGAUGUGCCCAGAUGGGAUUAGCUAGUAGGUGGGGUAAAGGCUCACCUAGGCGACGAUCCCUAGCUGGUCUGAGAGGAUGACCAGCCACACUGGAACUGAGACACGGUCCAGACUCCUACGGGAGGCAGCAGUGGGGAAUAUUGCACAAUGGGCGCAAGCCUGAUGCAGCCAUGCCGCGUGUAUGAAGAAGGCCUUCGGGUUGUAAAGUACUUUCAGCGGGGAGGAAGGGAGUAAAGUUAAUACCUUUGCUCAUUGACGUUACCCGCAGAAGAAGCACCGGCUAACUCCGUGCCAGCAGCCGCGGUAAUACGGAGGGUGCAAGCGUUAAUCGGAAUUACUGGGCGUAAAGCGCACGCAGGCGGUUUGUUAAGUCAGAUGUGAAAUCCCCGGGCUCAACCUGGGAACUGCAUCUGAUACUGGCAAGCUUGAGUCUCGUAGAGGGGGGUAGAAUUCCAGGUGUAGCGGUGAAAUGCGUAGAGAUCUGGAGGAAUACCGGUGGCGAAGGCGGCCCCCUGGACGAAGACUGACGCUCAGGUGCGAAAGCGUGGGGAGCAAACAGGAUUAGAUACCCUGGUAGUCCACGCCGUAAACGAUGAGUGCUAAGUGUUGGAGGGUUUCCGCCCUUCAGUGCUGCAGCAAACGCAUUAAGCACUCCGCCUGGGGAGUACGACCGCAAGGUUGAAACUCAAAGGAAUUGACGGGGGCCCGCACAAGCGGUGGAGCAUGUGGUUUAAUUCGAUGCAACGCGAAGAACCUUACCUGGUCUUGACAUCCACGGAAGUUUUCAGAGAUGAGAAUGUGCCUUCGGGAACCGUGAGACAGGUGCUGCAUGGCUGUCGUCAGCUCGUGUUGUGAAAUGUUGGGUUAAGUCCCGCAACGAGCGCAACCCUUAUCCUUUGUUGCCAGCGGUCCGGCCGGGAACUCAAAGGAGACUGCCAGUGAUAAACUGGAGGAAGGUGGGGAUGACGUCAAGUCAUCAUGGCCCUUACGACCAGGGCUACACACGUGCUACAAUGGCGCAUACAAAGAGAAGCGACCUCGCGAGAGCAAGCGGACCUCAUAAAGUGCGUCGUAGUCCGGAUUGGAGUCUGCAACUCGACUCCAUGAAGUCGGAAUCGCUAGUAAUCGUGGAUCAGAAUGCCACGGUGAAUACGUUCCCGGGCCUUGUACACACCGCCCGUCACACCAUGGGAGUGGGUUGCAAAAGAAGUAGGUAGCUUAACCUUCGGGAGGGCGCUUACCACUUUGUGAUUCAUGACUGGGGUGAAGUCGUAACAAGGUAACCGUAGGGGAACCUGCGGUUG
rnacentral:rRNA from 1 species